AACAUCUUGCUCAUUUCUGAUUUCAGGAGGGACCUUUGGAGACAGAACUUGUCCAUGAUGUUUUGUGUGUGGUGGCUGCUGUGAUUGUGAUGGGCAUGGCUGGGCUUAUCAGUGGUGUCUCCCCAGGAGGUGUAAGGGGGCUGGAUCUGAGUGUAUCAAAGUGUCUAUGGCCAGGACUUACAGGAAGAGGCAUGAGCUUAGGAAAUACUCCUAGAAGCAACCUGGGAGGAAGAAAGCCCAGACUCUGCAUGGCAGCUGGGGAGAUUGUCAACAGUUUUUGUCCAGAUGCUCAGAGCCCUGGCUGGGGAACGAAGAUUUGCAUAGUU
rnacentral:lncRNA from 1 species